ensembl:lncRNA
CACACACACAAACACACAUACACACACACACACACAAACAGACCACACACACACACAAACACACAGUAUAUAUGUGUGUAUGGUAUACAUAAAGGGCUCUUUAGCUAUGAAAACGCCUCACUGGUGGCCUUCAUCACAGGCUCCACUUCACCAACCCUUGAGACAGCCCUACCAAUCCACACAAUACCACAUAGUUGGUAUAGCGUAAAAAGAAACAGCGAACGCAAGAAACACGUGUCCACACAUCUACAAAUGCAUGCAGAGCACAGGGAAUGCGUCUGUGGUGAACACACGUGCAGGGUUGCUGAAUCAUGAUCCCGGCACCUCUAGGAACGAAAUGACUGUCGAGAGCUCAUGUCCGCCCACAAAAGCAAAACCGUUUUGAAAUUGAUGCAAGUUUUCCUGUCGACAUUUAACAGCAUCUUGUGUAUUGUCAUUUUUUUUUUUUUUUACUGUAAUGCUGCCUUGCACAUGUGCAAUUGCUGACAGCCACGGCUGUUUGCAUCGAUCAGCUUGAUGCAUUGUUUGCACAUAGUGCCAGUGUGCAUCAGGGAAAAAACACCAUCAUUACAAUUACCCAGGCCGAGCCUUUGGCAGCUGUGAGCAGAGAACUCCAAAACCGGCUCCAGCCUUGAACAAUGGCGGGGGCCCAAGGCGCCAUGAAAUCAUACACUUAGGUCUGCUCACUUCUCUCGUCCUAGCAGCUAUCUUCUGUCCUGUGGGGGUUUCGGUAUAUAUUUUUUUUCUCCGCCCGUGACAUUGUUUGGCUUAAAGUAAGAUGAUUGCCUGUGAUGGUGGGUAGGGCUGUGGUGUUGACACAGGGACUUAAUGGUAUUUCAACUGACUUUGCUGAAAAGCUGUAGAUAAAUGGCAGCCCACUGCCGGGGAGUAGUCAAACGGUCUUCUAUAGGGAUGCUGGCGCGUGUGUGUGUGUGUGUGUGUGUGUGUGUGUGUGUGUGAUUGUGCCUUUCUGUAUGUGUAUGUUAUUUGGUGUAUCGGCGAUACAUUUUCAACUUAAACUCUUAAUGUUCAUCUCUCUUUAAUGCUCCUUAAUGU